rnacentral:snRNA from 1 species
AUCACUUCUCGGCCUUUUGGCUAAGAUCAAGUGUAGAAAGCAAGCAUUAACAUGGGAAAAAUCUUAGAAACACAGCUGCUGUUAACUAGAUUAAUUUUUAACAACUACAAAUGGAAUAGGUAUAUUCUCACUGGUUUGUCAGUUUUCAACCAAAU